UACGAAGGGGGCUAGCGUUGUUCGGAAUCACUGGGCGUAAAGCGCACGCAGGCGGAUUGAUAAGUCGGGGGUGAAAUCCCGGGGCUCAACCUCGGAAUUGCCUUCGAUACUGUCUGUCUUGAGUCCGGGAGAGGUGAGUGGAAUUCCUAGUGUAGAGGUGAAAUUCGUAGAUAUUAGGAAGAACACCAGUGGCGAAGGCGGGUCUCUGGGCCGAUACUGACGCUGAGGAGCGAAAGCGUGGGGAGCGAACAGG
rnacentral:rRNA from 1 species